UACGUAGGGUGCAAGCGUUGUCCGGAAUUAUUGGGCGUAAAGAGCUCGUAGGCGGUUUGUCGCGUCUGCUGUGAAACCCGAGGCUCAACCUCGGGCCUGCAGUGGGUACGGGCAGACUAGAGUGCGGUAGGGGAGAUUGGAAUUCCUGGUGUAGCGGUGGAAUGCGCAGAUAUCAGGAGGAACACCGAUGGCGAAGGCAGAUCUCUGGGCCGUAACUGACGC
rnacentral:rRNA from 1 species